GUCGGGAUAGGUCAGCUGGUAGAGCAGAGGACUGAAAAUCCUCGUGUCA
rnacentral:tRNA from 1 species